UUCUAUGUGGCUCCACCUAUGUUAAAUAAAUAUGUUUGACAACUCAGAUAUUGGGGGAAUCAGUUCUUGAAGGGCGAAAGUACCCCUUUUAUUUUUUAAAAUUAAAUUAUGAAAGUUUAUGUGGAUUUAUUUAUGUGAAGGAAGAGUUUUCUUGCAGUUGGGGUAGUGGAAAGAUUCAGUUUAACAGUAUAAUGUUUAUCUAGCUUCUGCUUUUAAUUAUCACGUGCAAGAGAUUGCUUUCUCUCCCGGUUUUCUUAUCAGAAAGAAAGUGUAAAGGAACUUUCUUGCAAGCAAAACUCAAUUCCUGGCAGUUGGCAUCGACAAACCCCUAUACCAGCAGCUUCAUGGCUUUUCUCUGGUAUUUGAGGACCUUUCUAGAGGUUAAAAAGCAAUCGAACAAUGUAUCAGAUAUUUGAGUAUAUGCUGAUACAUUCGAGGUGUGCGAUGAAGCACUUAAGUAUCUCAAGAAAGGAGAACAUGGUAGAAGUUCAUCCCAGUAGAGCGACACUCAUUUGAGCCUGCAACAGUUUUUCGGCUUCAAAGGCAUAACAUCACUUGUCAGCCAAAGGAUAUACUACAGGUAUGCCUCCUUUAAUUGUGGAUGUGAUCUUGAAGAUAAGAAAAAUUACUUCUAUAACAGGAAUCUGUAUCGAAAGGAAUCGGAAAAUAAAGAAAUAUUUUAAGUAGAAAUCAGGUCGCUGUUGAUGCAUUCAGUAGAAUUUGGCCAAGCAAUAGGGCAUGGAAAAUUACAUAAUGUCAAUGCUAUUGUAGCAUGCCUUUUAUACGAUACUGCUGGUUUGCUUCACCAUACACUUGAAAAGAUGAACAAUUAUACCAAAGGCUACAAACCUGUGUACAAGGUUUGGGGGAGUAUGACAUUGCCAUGGUUACGAUGUGCCUCCAUGAUAUGCUGGUUGGGGUUAAAAUGCUCUCUAUAUAUUAAAAAAGAAUCCAAGCACUGAGGAAGAUGUGCCUUUCUUAGACUCAACUAAUGCGACUAUUUUGUUAUGCUUCUUGCUUUUCGCAGUAAUGAGAACCCAAAAUGUUGGCCCCGUGCUCGACUGAAGUUCUCUUGGAACUACAGAUUGAGGUGGGCAUGUGCAGUUGGCUUUGCAAACUGGUGCCAUUAUCUAUGUGCAUAGAAUCUCUUAGCAAGAAGGAUUUGCCAACACGUCGCAUGAUGCUACAGUCACGCAGUAGUUCAAGACAUAGAACUCAUUACUCAUUAGGAAUGGAUGGUGUUUUGAUGUUGAUGUCCAUCCCGGUCCGGCUUUUGGUGCUGGAAUAUCACUAUAUGAUUUCAAUAAGCAUGCUGAGUUAUUCAUGGAACUGUCUAACGGCGCUAUCCAGGAAUAUAAUGAGAAAGAGUGGAAUGUUUUCAAGUUCAAGGUUCUAAAGAUUGAGAAAGUGAAUUGUACGGUGACAGAUUACUUUGAAUAUUGGAUGACUGUGAAAGUCUUAAAUCUCACUCUUGGUACUCCUAUCGAGACUUUUCAAAUCCAUGCUGGUAAAAGUUGCCUCAAUGAUGAUGCAAAAGUUAUCUAUUGUUGUCAGCCUAAAGAAGAGGCGGUUGUUGGUUUGGCAAACUGCGAUCUUUGUUUUGGUAAGUUACGCGUAGAGGCGUGUCAGGGAGGAAAGGAAAAGGCACUUGAAGUAUAGUUACUUAAAUUUGGACCUUUUGAGAUUUCAUCAUUAUGGUUUUAAGUAAUGUAACUUUGGUCUUGGUUGAGAUUUUAUCAUUUGUAGUUUGAGUGCUUUACUCUGGCAGAUCCGACACCCGAGAACAUUUCAAUCUUUGUAGUUUGUAAUGUGAUCUGACUACUAAAUGCAGUAUUGAUUCUUGAUAAUGUAGUACAGGAUAAACGAUGAAUACUUUAAGGAUAGCAACAACUGUAUGUGCUUUACAGGGAGAUUUUCUAUAUUGCCUUCUCAAUUUCUAUAUGAUAAGAAUUGAUUGCCUCCU